rnacentral:rRNA from 1 species
AACGAACGCUGGCGGCAGGCCUAACACAUGCAAGUCGAACGAACCCUUCGGGGUUAGUGGCGGACGGGUGAGUAACACGUGGGAACGUGCCUUUAGGUUCGGAAUAACUCAGGGAAACUUGUGCUAAUACCGAAUGUGCCCUUCGGGGGAAAGAUUUAUCGCCUUUAGAGCGGCCCGCGUCUGAUUAGCUAGUUGGUGAGGUAAAGGCUCACCAAGGCUACGAUCAGUAGCUGGUCUGAGAGGAUGACCAGCCACAUUGGGACUGAGACACGGCCCAAACUCCUACGGGAGACAGCAGUGGGGAAUCUUGCGCAAUGGGCGAAAGCCUGACGCAGCCAUGCCGCGUGGAUGAUGAAGGUCUUAGGAUUGUAAAAUCCUUUCACCGGUGAAGAUAAUGACUGUAGCCGGAGAAGAAGCCCCGGCUAACUUCGUGCCAGCAGCCGCCGUAA